AAUUUAAUGCAUUAAUACAAAUGGGGCGGAUUAUUUCAAUAAAGAAUGCCUGCAAUAUCUGGCAAGUGGUUUAGGACCCGUGAUAUGGAGUAUAACAGGGAACAAUUCUAGAUCCACUUGGUUUUAUGGUCCCCCGAGCCGCCAUGCCACAGGGACAGUAGAGGCUUCUGCUGGCUGCCAGUUCUUCGCAUGCUUCAAAUUUGGAGCGCAAGCACUUUCGAAGUUUGUCGCGAUGCGUGAUGGAGCUAUUUGGCCCGAGAUUCACAAAAGCUUCAAGCGUUUGUGGUUCUAAUGAAUAAUAGAAAGAAAAGCUAAAAAGUGUACCCGAUGAGCGGGAGAAAUCAAUAUCAAGCGUUUGUGAUUCUAAUUUGUUUUCUCUAUCCUAAAAGUUUGGUUAAUUGGGAAACCAGAUCCCUCCUUUAUUAUAUUAGAUAUAUAAAUCAUUCAAAUUGUACUCCAAUUUAUAACAUUCAUGUUUUUGGAAGAGAUUUGAAAAUGCGGUUGCACUUG